rnacentral:rRNA from 1 species
UACGUAGGGGGCAAGCGUUGUCCGGAAUCAUUGGGCGUAAAGCGCGUGUAGGCGGUUCGGUAAGUCUGCUGUGAAAGUCCAGGGCUCAACCCUGGGAUGCCGGUGGAUACUGUCGAACUAGAGUACGGAAGAGGCGAGUGGAAUUCCCGGUGUAGCGGUGAAAUGCGCAGAUAUCAGGAGGAAUACCGGUGGCGAAGGCGGGUCUCUGGGCAGUUACUGACGCUGAGGAGCGAAAGCGUGGGGAGCGAACAGG